AUCCAUACUAUUCCUCUCCUUAUCCCUGGCUUCGGCACAUGUCAUCGACUACUCGCGUGCCAAGUACAUUCCCAUCGUCGACGGCGAAAUCUUGGUAUGGGAGAAAUACGCCUAUGCUUGGUACUCGGCAAACCUCUCCGAGUACGCGCGAAUGGUGGAAGAAACAGUCAAAUUAAUUCCUGUAAACAAUGUAAUACUAUAAAAGUAACCAAAACCCAAUCCGUCCAUUCGGGCAGCUCAGACGUUGAAAGAUUUACUGAGAAGAAAAGGGCCACAACUGAAAAAAAAAAAAGAGAUAAAGCCAGUAACUUUGGCUUUUCAGAAGCCGGUGCACCAGCAGAGCUGCAGCAGAGUCAAGUCAAGUAGUCUAGUAUAACAGCGAAUUCGCAUUGACGACUUCAAUUGCUUUAUUAUUGUGAUAUUAUUCAACUGAGAUCAGGGAAAAAAUAAGAUGGGGGUGUUAUUAUGUGAAAUGUAUGAAGAAACUUACUUGCCAAGGUGUGACACACAUUUCCAACUAACCAAUGAAACCAAUUAAAGCAUGGUCGGCUUUUAUCAUUCGGUCCUGGACGAAAAAAAGGUCCAAUUGGUUGUAUAAAGCAUAAAAUAAUCGUCAUCAGUCCCAAUAUUGAGUGAGCAUGCCAGACAGCUUGCUUUAAUUCCACCCAAAUAGAAACCAAGCCGAAUACACUCUGAUGGCCCACCCAUGUGUGCUUAAAGUAUCGAGCGAAUUUUACACCCAGCGACGUAGUGCCUAUCCAGGCAGUAAUCAUAAAUGCUCCAUGAAGGCGGACCAAGACCAUUUUGCUACCACCUAAAUCCUGGACUACAGCCAAAUUGAUGCGAUUACCAGAUGGAGAGCAUCCUAUAUCAUGAAAGCCUAUACCAGUAUCCUUUAAGGUAGUUCCUGAAGCUAAAAGUAAGUGAUACUUGUCAUUCCUUAAGUCAAAAGUGCGACCUUGAACGGUUAUUAAAGGGUCGCGUUGUACUUUACAAUAGAUAACACCAUCCACAAACGAAGCAUUUAUAAGAUGAGCAGAAUUUUGGAACUGAAAAAAAACAAAGUCUUUUAUAAAUAUUAACACUUUGUGCUUAUGGGGAAUGUCCUUUAAUCAAUCUUUUAU